rnacentral:rRNA from 1 species
CCUACGGGAGGCAGCAGUGGGGAAUAUUGGACAAUGGGCGCAAGCCUGAUCCAGCCAUGCCGCGUGAGUGAAGAAGGCCUUAGGGUUGUAAAGCUCUUUCACCCGCGAAGAUGAUGACGGUAGCGGGAGAAGAAGCCCCGGCUAACUCCGUGCCAGCAGCCGCGGUAAU